UGAGGAAUAUUCCACAAUGGGCGAAAGCCUGAUGGAGCGACGCCGCGUGCGGGAUGAAGCCCUUUGGGGUGUAAACCGCUUUUUUGGGGGAUGAAACGCAGGGGCAACCCUGCUAAGACAGUACCCCAAGAAUAAGCAUCGGCUAACUACGUGCCAGCAGCCGCGGUAAUACGUAGGAUGCAAGCGUUGUCCGGAUUUACUGGGCGUAAAGCGCGCGCAGGCGGCACUGUAAGUAAGAUGUGAAAUCUCCUUGCUCAACGGGGAGGGUGCAUUUUAGACUACAGAGCUAGAGGUCGGUAGAGGGGGGUGGAAUUGCUGGUGUAGCGGUGAAAUGCGUAGAGAUCAGCAGGAACACCCGUGGCGAAGGCGGCCCCCUGGGCCGUACCUGACGCUGAGGCGCGAAGGCUAGGGGAGCGAACGG
rnacentral:rRNA from 1 species